UGACCUCAUAGAAAUUAGUAUUUCAUCAGAUUCUCCUUGAAUCACUGAAAGAUAAUGUACACUAUUGCCUCAUAAAAAAGCAAGAGACAAGUAGAAGGGGAAUAAGCUUUAUGAAAUCUUGAUGAAAGAGCAAACUACUCAUGCUAAGGACUUUUAAGGAUGAAACUGGGAGAAUAAUAUACAGAUGAAGAAUGGAAAAAGACUGAAGAUGAAGGGGUUCAACAGAGGUGUGACAAUGCUCGAGAGGAUAAAGAGGAUCUUAUUAAAGUGAAGAUUACUCUUCUGUGAGGGGCGAACAUAGACAAAGAUGGAGAUCCCAUAGCCCAAAGAUACUACAGUGAAAUGUGAGGCACAAGUGGCAAAUGUUUUGCGUUGACCUUGACCUGAGGGGAUCUUCAGAAUUGUGGAGAUGAUAUAGACAUAGGAGACCACAGUUAGUGUCAGUGAGCUAAUUAGAAGUACAAGGGAGCUGAGGAAGUCCAAUAAUUCAAUGGCUCUGAUGUCAGUACAUGCCAGGUGUAGCAAGGGAGCACUAUCACAGAAGAAGUGGUCAAUCACAUUGGGUCCACAAUAUGGCAGCCCUCCCUUAAGGACUGUAGAUGGAAAGAUGAGCAGAAAACCACCUAACCAGGAUAGAACGACAAGUCGAAUACAGAGUGGACAGGUCAUGAUAGUAGGAUACUGAAGCGGAUUACAGAUAGCAAUAUAACGAUCAUAAGACAUGAUAGCAAAGAGAAUAAACUCAGUACAUCCAGAAAGGAAAUAAAAAUAAGAUUGUGAGAAGCAUCCAGCAAAGGAGAUGGUUUUUUUCUCUGACAGAAAAUCAACCAGCAUUUUAGGAACAGCACAGGUUGUGGUAAGGAUUUCACUAAAGGAAAGAUGGCUGAGGAAGAAAUACAUGGGUGAAUGAAGUCUAUAAUCCACCCAAAUGAGUAUGAUGAUGAGGAAAUUGCCUAAAACAGUCACCAAAUAGGCCAAUAAAAAUAAUAGGAACAAAAGGCCACCCAGAACUGCAUGAGUAGUGGGGAUUCCCACAAGGAUGAUCUCUGUCACCAUUGUCCAAUUCCUCUUCUCCAUCUUGCCCUUGAUCUUCCCUGCUGAGAUAGUCACAGAAGAGAAAGCAGGCAGAUGAGCCCCACCCAUUA